GUAUUUAUGAUAUAAGAUAGAUCAUUCAAAAAUAAUAUCUAAAAUGUAAAAUACCCAAAAGUUAUUUCUAAAAUGGUCAAUCUAUUUUUUUCGGUAGUGGCAUCAUUGUCAACUAUUAUAAAAAUUUGAAUUUUAGCUCCAACAUAUACACACAUAUACAACAAAGGGCUAAAUGUGCAUAAACAUUUACCACAACUGUUCUUUCAGCACUCUGAAUGAUAGAAAAAAACAACCAAAGUUCUCGUGUUUAAACAAGUUUUGUUUUGAGCUAUAUCAUAUCUGCUUGGGAAAUAUUAUUUUGCGUGUUUUAUUUAAAUCAGUGAUCUGCAGCCUAAUAAAAGUUUAUAUUAUUGAUGCACGCAUGUUAAAAACGUAAAAUAAAAGUUUUCUAAAGCCAAAAUAUGGAAUUGAAAAGGGUGAUACAGUAAUACUUCAUGCAUUGUCAAUUCGAAGCACGCAAUAGAAGCUACGCCAACAAUGGUCAACAUCAAGGGCGAAACCAUUGAAUACAUAUUUCAAACCUCAUAAGGCAUGUUAAAGGUACGCAAACUUAUUAAUGUCACUUAUGGUAGCAGCGUAGAACUUUCGAAGCGAUGUAAUAUAUGCUGCACGCAAAUCCAGAACUAUGGAUGCAAACGCUGCUACAUGGAACAAAAAUCAUUUACACACCAGAUAUACAGUUUAAUGUCACUUUUUUACGUGCAAUUAAACCUUUUGCUCAGCACAAGCCCGGGAAGGACUGAAACAACAUGGUUUAGGUGCUUUUGUAACCGUUUAUCAUCGCGACGUGUGUAAACUGGGUUUUGCCAAUGAGCUAGAGGGCAAAGCAGUUGCAGCAUUUUUAGAAUUACCGGCCCCUCAGUUGGCCGUGCCAUUUGCAGCUAAAACUCAGAACUCAAUACUACAGCAAGAGCAUGGAUGUUAUGACUAGAACGUUGCCCGUGCUGUAUUUAGAAUUCCUAAAACGUAAGAAACCCUCCACCCAGAAAUUGGAUGAAUCUAGUACUAGUGAAAUUAAUGAAAGAACAGAUCUUCCAAAACUCCUAAAGAAACCAAAAGAGUAUUCACAUAAUGUGCACAGCUUACACUUCCAGGCCGCUCGGGGUAUUUGACAUUUGUCACUCUUCCUCCAGAUAGCAAAAAUUGUUCAACUAUUCAAUACGUUUUACAUAUGUAUAUAGUGUAGUUCGAUAAUACAUUUAUAAAGUAAAUAUAAUCCCCCCUAUUCCCGUUGUCGUUAUCGUUUUAAAACGACUUAAGAACGCCUAUUUGCCAUUCCUGUUGGCGUUAACGACAUUUAUCGAAAAUAAAUUGAGAUUCCCCAAUUUGAAACGACUAUAGAAACGACAUAGAAACAUUCGUUUUUUGUCGUUGCUAUAAUUGUGAGCGACAUAGAAACGACGCAGUUGUUUGAAGGAAUAUUUGAAGUGAAGAUGAAAAUUCCAAAUCGGAAACAGUUUGAAAUUUUAAUUUCUGAAAUGGAAAAAUAUCCUGCAUAUGCCAAGGACUUUAGAAAAGGGAUAAAUCCUUUAAAUUUCGAUAUUUUUUUCUCAAAAAAAGAAAACUAAAUCCAUUCUUCCGCUUUUUCGCGUCGGAAAUUGUUGGCGUUAAUAAAAAUGCAUUUUUAUAUCUAAGAGUAUAUUUAAGAUAUCAAAGGUCUAAAAAUUCAAAACGAAGAAAAAAAUAGUUGAAGGAAUGUUUAAAUUUUAAGUAAUAAUAAUUAUCCCCACGAUUUCGGGGAUAAAAUGUGUGUGCUUGGAUAGUAAAGAUCCUCCAGUUUAAGAAUAUAUAUCUUGAUAUCUAUAUAUUUUGAUUAAUUUUACAAUUUUUUAUAUAUGGCAAUGCUUAAUUUUCGUCAGCAUGCAACCCUUUUGUUUAGUGUGAAUUGAUAAAAUUUAAUAAAAAUUAAAAUGCUUAUUUAAAGCAAAUUUCAAAAUAAUUAAUAUUAAAUAAAUAUAUGGAAAGAAAGUAGUGAAGUGUAAGUGCAUAUUAAGUGCAUAUUAAGUGCAAUAUAUAAAUGAAAAAUUCAAUAUAUAGCGAGAAAUUACGUGUUAAAAUUAGACAAUUUUUAAAUUUAAACGCUAAUAUCUCGAAAACUAUAAGUGCGGCUACAAUUAUAUAUAUUCUUAAUCUGGAGGAUCUCCUCUAUCCUAUCAUACUCACUUUAUCCCCGAAAUCGUGGGAUGCUGUAAUAAAUCCCAGGCGGUCACUUCUUUGAACGACUCAAAGGACAAAUUUUAGACAAAAAUGGCAAUACAAAUAUAUAUUUUUGUUGUUUUUAUUUGGAAAUACAAUACGCAGUUUGAAACAAGGGGGACAAAAUAUAUGUUUGUGCGGAUUUAAGUAUUUCUCCACCUAAGAAAAUGAUGCGGCACUAUUGCGCAUGAUUAAAAGGACAUUUUAGCGUAGGUUUGCUCCAUAAGUGCUGCCUGUCUGUUUGAAUUACAGGAUAGUGCGUUCUAUUGGCUUCUCUAUAACGCUUAGCCAAUUCUCAAAAAAAGAAAACUAAAUCCAUUCUUCCGCUUUUUCGCGUCGGAAAUUGUUGGCGUUAAUAAAAAUGCAUUUUUAUAUCUAAGAGUAUAUUUAAGAUAUCAAAGGUCUAAAAAUUCAAAACGAAGAAAAAAAUAGUACUCCAACAAGACGAGGAGUUAAUAAACAGAUACCCAUGUCUCCUUUGGCUGGACCACUAGAUAGAGUAGUCGGAUUAGCCAGAAGCAAGGAGCAUGAGACGCUGGAAGUAUAACAUAUUUUAGAAGAAAGUUAGGAGGACGCAGAUGUCACCACUACAUCUUUUAAAAAGUCAAAUAAAGAUGGAAGACUAAGAUUGUUGUACGUAAGUACAAUAAUUACAGUGAAAACGUUGUUUAGAGUCAAUAGAGAAUAGCAUAAAAUCCAUUAAGGACUGCUUUAAAAAUGUGUCUCGUUACAUAAGAAAUAAAUUUUUAUAUGGGAAAAGAGCGCCUUAAAGUAUACUAUAUAAAAUAUGUAGACAAAUUUCGAUAACUUUUCUCAGGCGUUACGAUAUACUUCAAGAAUACCAAUUUAGGAACGAAACGACGAUAAGAACGACGACGACUUAGAAACGACUGUUAAAACGAAAAGACAACGGGAAUAGGGCCGAAUAAUAAACACCUAAAUGGCAUAAUAUUUUAAAUAAAUAUGAAAUAUAAUUAAUGAUUUUGUUAUUAAAUUCUCAUUUGGGAUUUUGGUAGAACUAACCGAAAAUAGCGGAUAUUGUUUCAGGGCUUUUGUGGGUCGCAGUACUGAAAGUGCACGUCGAGUUUUCGUUCGCAGUUUUGGGUAUUUCACACAUGCGUAAGAAAGGGUAAAAUUUGCAUAAACAUUUCACUAAACUUUUCUUUCGUUCAGCACCCUGAAUGAGAGAAGGAAGCAACCGAAGUUCUCGUGUUUGAACAAGUUUUGUUUUGAGCUAUAUCAUCAUAUCAGUGAUCUGCAGCUUAAUUAGAGUUUAUAUUAUUGAACCACACAUUUUUAAUUAUCAGAACUGUGUCUUGCUGCCAGUUCGGCAGCCCUAAUAUAGUCGAUUGUAAGCGAUACAUCGCCACUCGAACAUUCUUGCAACUACGAAUAUCGAUGUCUAGAUACAUCUGGCAAGUUAUCGAUUUCGAUUGUCAAAUCUAGUUUGUUCUGGUGCCAUUUUCGUUACAAUAUAUAUUUUAAACCUCAUACGGCGCGUUAAAUUUACGCAACCUAAUUAGUGUCACUUAAGGUGGCUGCGUAGAACUCUUGAAGGGACGGAAGUAUGUGCUGCAAGCAAACCCAGAAUUAUGAACGCAAACGCUGCUACAUCGAACACAAAUCAUUUACACAUCAGAUAUUAGGUUGAAUGUCAAAUUUUUUACGUGCAAUUAAACAAUUUGGUCAUCUACAUACAUUUGACCUUCACGAAGCGCGAGUGCAAUAAACUCGUGAAUAAUUGGAAGGACAUGUUUUAGGUGCUUGGCACGAUUCCGAUUACUUUGGCGGUCGGGGUUGACAACUCCUCUGGGCUAUCGUAUGAAAGACGGAAUAUCUCGAAAACUAGGCGUCUGCGGUACCUAUUACCCCAUAUAUUUUUGAAUCCGGAGGUCCUCUUUCCAACGGUGUAAUCAGAUCGCGGCGCCAUAGUAAUCGGAAUUGUGCCAGGUGCUUUUGUAACCGUUUAUCAUCGCGACGUGUGUCAACUGGGUUUUGGCAAUGAGCUAGAGGGUAAAGCAGAUGCAGCAUUUUUGGACUUACCGGCACCUCGUAUUACCGUACCAUUAACAACUAAAACACAGAAAUAAGAGGGUAAAUUUAAGAAUCAUAACGUUGUUGUAUCGCCAUUCACCGAUAUUAGUUCAAUGGGAAUACUAGAGCAAGAGCAUGGAUGUUAAUACUGGAUCGGUUCCCGUGCUAGAAUAAUAAUUACUAAAAAACCCUCCUCCCAAAAAUUGGAUGAAUCUAGUACUACUUAAAUUCAUAAAAAACAGAUCUUACAAAAACUCCUAAAGAAACCAAAAAAGUCACAUCAUGUGCGCUGCUUACACUUCCAGGCCACACGGGGUAUUUGACAUUUGCCGCUCUUCCUCCAGCCUUCGACAAAUAGCAAAAUUUGUUCAACUGUUCAAUACUAUAUACCUACAUAUGUAUAUAGUGUAGUAAAUUUAAUAAUAAAAACCUAAAUGGCAUGAUAGUUUCAAUAAAUAUCAAAUAUAAUGAAUGGUUAUGUUAUUAAAUUCUCAUUGGGGAUUUUGGUAGAUAUAACCGAAAAUAGCGGGCAUAAUUUCAGGUCUUUUGUAUGUCACGGUACUGAAUGUACACAUGGAGUUUUCGUUCGCAAUUUUGGGUGUUUCAUCAGUGAUUGUACCAAGAAUAGUACUGAAAGUGCACAUGUAGUUUUCGUUCGCAGGUUUGGGUUUUUCAUCCGUGAUUGUACCAAGAACAUUCUCUGAAUUGUGCACGAGGCAUAUACACAUCGUUAAAUGAUGAAUGUAAUGUGCGUGAAAGGAUGAACGAUCACACGUACACAAGAUUUUCUGGUACUUUUGUCAAUUCACCUAUAAGAAUCGCAUAGAAACUUUCAUUGAAACUGCUAGUAUCGCUCCCUAGCUUUUUUUCGCUACCUGACUUGCAGGGAAGAUACGAAAAUCUUUUAUUUGAGAGAGCGCUGUCAAAGUCCUCAUUUUUUUAUAACAUUUGGUAUCACUAGGAGAAAACAUAAGUGCGAAGAUUUUUAUUAAGCUGCUUAUCAUUGGUUUAUCCUUAUACGAAAUAAGAACUGGCUAGUAAGUGCUACAUAUUGUAAAGAAAAUGAUACCAGAACAAACUAAAAUAGACAAUCCGUAAAAAAAUAAUGGUUGACGAAAAAGCCAAAAAACCUGCAUUAAAGAUUCAAGGAGAAAACGUUUUUUUACGCUAGCGAUGGAUUGCUUCAAAAUUUCAAAAAAAAAGAUGCGGCAUUCGACUUCUUCAAAUAAUUGACCCUUUUUAUAAAAAAAUGUCCGAUUUGUACUUGUACCGGGAUCAGCUAGAUAAUUCUCAUAAGUCCGGUUCAUUCCAGAAACUUCUGCCAUAAAAAACUUAUAUAUGUCUCCAGCUUGAAAAAAGAGCCCCAUGUGUAAGGUUGGAGAAGCAGCAACACGUUUUGUGUUGCUCAAAUGCAAUUGGAACUCAUAAACUCAAAAUCUUGACAAAUGGAAAGGUAAAGAAUCCAUGCAGUUUUCAAAAUUUCAAUUUCCCAUCGAGUACAAAAACUCAAAAUCAGCCUGGAGCACGUGGGCUAUUUUCCACCAAUACAUUCCACAAAUACUGGUUCCUUUUGAAUUAUGUAAAAAAAAAAUUCUAAAGUUUAGUGCUUUAAGGUGAAAUUAAUUUUACAAUUUUCAAUUACAGUUGAAAAUGCGUCGACUAAAACGAAUUGAAUGUAAAAACAGAAGUAUACAAAAGAGAAUGUUUUUUUUUUUUAAUUAAGAGUUUUUCAAAUUUACAUUUCCUAUCAUUCCAUUUGAGUACAAAUUAAUAUGUACACGAAACAAUUGUAAAAUAUGUAUUUAAAUGUGUAAACAUAUAUAUAUAUAGUAUUGGACCAAAUAAUUUAUUUUCUCGAUCUUAAAAUAUAAGUAAAAAAGCAUAUUAUCCGCUUUUUGGAUCCUAUCUACUUCUAACUUUUUGCAUAUGACCUUUGCGAUCUUGCAUCCCGGUAGAUUCUUCCAGCACGUUUUUAUUAUCUUUGUCAUGCAGCUGUUUAUAUCGUCGUUCAGCCAAUGCAUGGGUUUGCCAAAGUGUAGCCACAUAUUCCUGGCGAAACUCUCCACUGCUUCCCUGCUUCUCAAAACGCUUUUGGCAGGGAUUCGAAAGGAGGUUAUUGUCUUGUUUGGUGCUUGGCGGUCUACGUAGACGUUAAUUUUAGGGAAUCGAGUUGGUGCGUUAGAGGGUGGCUCCGUGGCUUUCCCAAUAGCAAACCCUUCCGCCUGAAAUAUUGAAAGUUUGUUUUAUGCCUAUACCCCAGCACCAACUCUAUCAUCCAUUUUCGAGCCAUCCAUAUUGAUGUUUAAGGUGUUGCGUGAAGUUGCAGUGCCCUUACGCUAACCCUCCCUUUCCAAGUUUACCUUAAACUUAUUUCCCAGUUGAAGAAUGGGACCAGAUAGUCGUUACCUACAAGACUGCCAUUCACAAUUGAGCUGUGUCCGAAGGAUCACAUGAUUCACCUGCCAAAAGCUUCGUCCUACGAUUUUGCCGCGCAGUUUUAGGCAAACAGAUCUAUAGGCGACAGAUUUAAUUGAGAUAGUUCUUAAGAUCCCGUUAUACAGAGCGAUGAAUAUUUUUCAUUGGCUUCCGAUAUGUGGAUUGUGUGGAGCUUCCUUGGAUGUGUUGUAUACUUCCUAGUGGAUACCAGCAAGUCUGUCUUUCCCGCAUUGCGUUGCCCAUUUUUUGACAAUAUUGAGAGUGUUGGUGAUUAUUAUAUACUGCUGACAGGGUGAAGUUACUUUCCCGUUAUCAAGAUGGCAAUGUCAUCCGCAUACGCGAGAUUCCCAUAUCUUGGGAACUUUGUCGUCAAAAUGCUUAAUAAGUUGUUCACCAUAAGAGCGGAGAUGACACUCCUCCUUGUGGGGUGUAUCUAUGUGACGCUGCCUCCCUGAAAUGCUUAUCGAGGAUUUUCUCCAGUGUCUUCAGAGGGAAGGAUGUUAGACUUAUAGUCCUGAUCUCUUUCGAGUAGGUUGGGUUGUUCUUACCUCCUUCGGUAUGAAAACUACCCUAGCCUCACUCCUACGUUUAUAUAUGUAUAUAAGCGUCAGUUUUGUUAUAUAAGCUGGAACAAAAAAUGUUAUUCGCCUUUUAUAUCUAUAUUUUUAAUUUUUUAAUAACUAUAAUCUGUAAUUAAUAAUAAUUGCUUCGAUUAUGUGUAUUCAUGUGUAUUUAACUAGAACGUGUCCAGAUGGAAAAUUAUUUUUACUGCCACAACAGAAACAGAAAAUCGAAACAUGUCAUCAGUAUGGAUUCGGAUGAGCACAAAACAAUCACAAGAAAAUUUUACUACAACGUAUAUCCAAAAUUUAAGUUUGUCAAACUGAAACUACAUAACUAUGUGUCGUAUGUGUCUGCUUACGCAUAAAAGUCGUAUAUUUCAUGCGUUUGAUGUGUAAACACAUUUUUGUACACUAGCAACUAAUAGAUGUCAUCGAUUGGCCAAACGUAUAGAGAAUUUAAUACAGAUGGCAAAUAUUUAAGUACCUGUGACUAUGUCACUGCUACUUAAAAAUCACUGGUCACAGCUGUGACAAGUUUCCUAAAGUAGCAGUGACAGGAAUUAACGAACAAAGUAGCAGUCACAGUAUCAGAUGAAAAAUUGCGACUGUGACAAAAUAGCAUUCACCGUGGAAUAUAAAAAAAUUGCGACUGUGACAAAGUAGCAGUCACAGUAUCACAUGAAAAAUUGGGACUGUUGCAAAACAGCAUUCACAAUGUAACAUACAAAAUUGCGGCUGUGAUGAAUUCAUAUUAAUUAAAGCUAUGAAUUCUCUUCAAUUUUAGAUAAGUAAAAAUUGGUUAACAUAUAAAAAGUUAAUUUAGCUUUAAACGGGUAAUACUUAUGUACAAAUUAAAUUGAUU